rnacentral:rRNA from 1 species
AACGAACGCUGGCGGCAUGCCUAACACAUGCAAGUCGAACGAGACCUUCGGGUCUAGUGGCGCACGGGUGUGUAACGCGUGGGAAUCUGCCCUUGGGUUCGGCAUAACAGUUGGAAACGACUGCCAAUACCGGAUGAUGACGUAAGUCCAAAGAUUUAUCGCACCGGGAUGAGCCCGCGUAGGAUUAGCUAGUUGGUGGGGUAAAGGCCUACCAAGGCGACGAUCCUUAGCUGGUCUGAGAGGAUGAUCAGCCACACUGGGACUGGGACACGGCCCAGACUCCUACGGGAGGGAGCAGUGGGGAAUAUUGGACAAUGGGCGAAAGCAUGAUCCAGCAAUGCCGCGUGAGUGAUGAAGGCAGUAGGGUUGUAAAGCUCUUUUACCCGGGAUGAUAAUGACAGUACCGGGAGAAUAAGCCCCGGCUAACUCCGUG